rnacentral:rRNA from 1 species
UACGUAGGGUGCGAGCGUUGUCCGGAAUUAUUGGGCGUAAAGGGCUCGUAGGCGGUCUGUCGCGUCGGGAGUGAAAACUCAGGGCUUAACCCUGAGCCUGCUUCCGAUACGGGCAGACUAGAGGUAUGCAGGGGAGAACGGAAUUCCUGGUGUAGCGGUGGAAUGCGCAGAUAUCAGGAGGAACACCGGUGGCGAAGGCGGUUCUCUGGGCAUUACCUGACGCUGAGGAGCGAAAGCGUGGGUAGCAAACAGG